rnacentral:rRNA from 1 species
AGCGAACGCUGGCGGCAGGCCUAACACAUGCAAGUCGAACGAACUCUUCGGAGUUAGUGGCGGACGGGUGAGUAACACGUGGGAACGUGCCUUUAGGUUCGGAAUAACUCAGGGAAACUUGUGCUAAUACCGAAUGUGCCCUUCGGGGGAAAGAUUUAUCGCCUUUAGAGCGGCCCGCGUCUGAUUAGCUAGUUGGUGGGCUAAUGGCCCACCACGGCUACGAUCAGUAGCUGGUCUGAGAGGAUGACCAGCCACAUUGGGACUGAGACACGGCCCAAACUCCUACGGGAUGCAGCAGUGGGGAAUCUUGCGCAAUGGGCGAAAGCCUGACGCAGCCAUGCCGCGUGGAUGAUGAAGGUCUUAGGAUUGUAAAACCCUUUCACAGGUGAAGAUGAUGACUGUAGCCGGAGAAGAAGCCCCGGCUAACUUCGUGCCAGCCGCCGCAGUAAUAC